GACGAACGCUGGCGGCGUGCUUAACACAUGCAAGUCGAGCGGUAAGGCCCUUUCGGGGGUACACGAGCGGCGAACGGGUGAGUAACACGUGGGUGACCUGCCCUUAGCUCUGGGAUAAGCCUGGGAAACUGGGUCUAAUACCGGAUAUGACUCCAUGACGCAUGUUGUGGGGUGGAAAGCCUUGUGCGGCUAGGGAUGGGCCCGCGGCCUAUCAGCUUGUUGGUGGGGUNAUGGCCUACCAAGGCGACGACGGGUAGCCGGCCUGAGAGGGCGACCGGCCACACUGGGACUGAGACACGGCCCAGACUCCUACGGGAGGCAGCAGUGGGGAAUCUUGCGCAAUGGGCGAAAGCCUGACGCAGCGACGCCGCGUGAGGGAUGACGGCCU
rnacentral:rRNA from 1 species